ACUGUGUCCGGCGAUGGGCACGGGGUGAGUGGGGAGGCCGAGGGCCCGGGACUGCCUUUCGCUGCUUGUUGGGGUUACAGGUGAAGGGGUUAUGGGUGAAGAACAACCCAGGGCCAGCGCUUGGCCUUCCCGCCACCGUGGCGGCCGCCCCGCGCUGUCUGUGAGGCGCCAGUUCCGGGGCGCUGCUCCCGGCCUCCCCUCGCUCUGAGGCUCGGGGUCCCCAGCUCCGCGUAAACUGCACGAUUUCGCCCUCUGCUCAGCUCCCCUCUGCCCCCUCUUUCCAAGAGAGACUUCCAGAUCCCACAUUUUCUUGACUGAUUUUUAAGCAUUUCUUCGUUUAUAGCUGUCUGUUUGCAUUCUGAUUGGGAACACUGGGAUCAUUUUCAUCAUGCCGACAGUGGUGGUAAUGGAUGUAUCCCUUUCCAUGACCCGACCUGUGUCUAUUGAGGGGUCCGAGGAAUACCAGCCACUAAGUAAUAUGGAUGAUUAUGACAAAACCUGCUUGGAGUCUGCAUUAGUUGGUGUUUGCAAUAUCGUUCAGCAAGAAUGGGGUGGUGCAAUUCCUUGCCAGGUUGUCCUGGUGACAGACGGCUGUCUUGGCAUUGGUAGAGGGUCACU
rnacentral:lncRNA from 1 species